rnacentral:rRNA from 1 species
AGGUGCGCGCUACCUGCAGUCGAGCGGCAGCGGAAGUAGCUUGCUACUUUGCCGGCGAGCGGCGGACGGGUGAGUAAUGUCUGGGAAACUGCCUGAUGGAGGGGGAUAACUACUGGAAACGGUAGCUAAUACCGCAUAACGUCGCAAGACCAAAGAGGGGGACCUUCGGGCCUCUUGCCAUCAGAUGUGCCCAGAUGGGAUUAGCUAGUAGGUGGGGUAACGGCUCACCUAGGCGACGAUCCCUAGCUGGUCUGAGAGGAUGACCAGCCACACUGGAACUGAGACACGGUCCAGACUCCUACGGGAGGCAGCAGUGGGGAAUAUUGCACAGUGGGCGCAAGCCUGAUGCAGCCAUGCCGCGUGUAUGAAGAAGGCCUUCGGGUUGUAAAGUACUUUCAGCGGGGAGGAAGGCGAUAAGGUUAAUAACCUUGUCGAUUGACGUUACCCGCAGAAGAAGCACCGGCUAACUCCGUGCCAGCAGCCGCGGUAAUACGGAGGGUGCAAGCGUUAAUCGGAAUUACUGGGCGUAAAGCGCACGCAGGCGGUCUGUCAAGUCAGAUGUGAAAUCCCCGGGCUCAACCUGGGAACUGCAUUCGAAACUGGCAGGCUAGAGUCUUGUAGAGGGGGGUAGAAUUCCAGGUGUAGCGGUGAAAUGCGUAGAGAUCUGGAGGAAUACCGGUGGCGAAUGCGCCCCCUGGACAAAGACUGACACUCAUGUGCGAAAGCGUGGAGAGCAACAGGAUAUAUACCCUGGUAUCCACGCCGUAACGAUGUCACGUGGAGGUGUGCCUUGAGGGUGUUUCCGAGCUAAGCGUUAGUCAACCGCUGGGGAUACGCCGCAGGAUAAACUCAAUGAUUGACGGGGCCCGCACAGCGGGGAGAGGUGUUUAUUCAUCCGCCGGAAACCUACUACUCUGCCUCGGAGACUUUCAGAG